rnacentral:rRNA from 1 species
GACGAACGCUGGCGGCGUGCUUAACACAUGCAAGUCGAACGGAAAGGCCCUGCUUGCAGGGUACUCGAGUGGCGAACGGGUGAGUAACACGUGGGUGAUCUGCCCUGCACUUCGGGAUAAGCCUGGGAAACUGGGUCUAAUACCGGAUAGGAGCCAUUUUUAGUGUGAUGGUUGGAAAGUUUUUUCGGUGUAGGAUGAGCUCGCGGCCUAUCAGCUUGUUGGUGGGGUAAUGGCCUACCAAGGCGGCGACGGGUAGCCGGCCUGAGAGGGUGGACGGCCACAUUGGGACUGAGGUACGGCCCAGACUCCGACGGGAGGCAGCAGUGGGGAAUAUUGCACAAUGGGCGCAAGCCUGAUGCAGCGACGCCGCGUGGGGGAUGACGGCCUUCGGGUUGUAAACUCCUUUCGCUAGGGACGAAGCUUUUUGUGACGGUACCUAGAUAAGAAGCACCGGCUAACUACGUG